rnacentral:rRNA from 1 species
GAUGAACGCUAGCGGCAGGCUUAACACAUGCAAGUCGAGGGGCAUCGAGAGUAGCAAUACUUGUCGGCGACCGGCGCAAGGGUGCGUAACACGUGAGCAACAUACCCGUUUCAGGAGGAUAACCGGAGGAAACUCUGCCUAAUACUCCAUGACAUCAUCAAACGGCAUCGUUUGAUGAUUAAAGAUUUAUCGGAAACGGCUUGGCUCGCGGGACAUUAGCUCGUUGGUGAGGUAACGGCUCACCAAGGCCACGAUGUCUAGGGGUUCUGAGAGGAAGGUCCCCCACACUGGAACUGAGACACGGUCCAGACUCCUACGGGAGCAGCAGUGAGGAAUAUUGGACAAUGGUCGGAAGACUGAUCCAGCCAUGCCGCGUGAAAGGUUCUGUCCUAUGGAAUAUUAAACUUCUUUUGUAUGAGAGCAAUAAGGUGCACGCGUGCACCGAAUGAGAGUAUCAUACGAAUAAGCAAGUCGCUAA